CUCUUGCCUAUAUCUGCAGGCUGGGACGAAGUGCUGGCUUCUGAAGGACACCGUAGACCUACCUGCUCUACUCUAACACUUUUGCUCAGAGAGCUGUCAUGCUGGCUCUUUCUGAUGGCAGUUUGGAGGGAAUAGCGGGAAUGCUAUGUGUGUGCUCGUCCGUUCCCCUACAACUGAAAGGCCAAGAGGGCUUUUCAAACAGAAACCGCGGACUACAUAGAUCCUCCUCUUUGAAUACUGAAAACUCUACUACAGCACAUCGUACACCUUGGCAGGAGAAUGUAGAAAUUAUACAAGAACGCUGACAAGAAAUGCUCAACUGGCAGCGCCUUCGGAUCUUCUACUGUAGCGCAUAUAUGUGCAGAUGGCGACCGUUUAAUAUUUUCUCUGUAGAUUUCUUCAUAUAUGCGUCACAGAUCCCACUGCAUGAAUGCUGCACAUUCUAGCACAGACUAAUAUUACGAGUUCAU